rnacentral:tRNA from 1 species
GGGCUAUUAGCUCAGUUGGUUAGAGCGUACCCCUGAUAAGGGUAAGGCCAGUGGUUCAAAUCUACUAUAGCCCA